rnacentral:sRNA from 1 species
AUUCUGCCCAUGCGGGGAAGGAUGAGAAGCUUCGACCAAGGUAGCACUCGAGCGCCAGCGAGAGAGCGUUGCCGCAGGCAACGACCCGAAGGGCGAAGCGCGCAGCGCUGAGUAAUCCUUCCCCCACCACCA